AGAAUCAACGCUGGCGGCGUGCCUAACACAUGCAAGUCGAACGAGAAAAGGGAGCAAUCCCUGAGUACAGUGGCGACCGGGUGAGUAACACGUGACUAACCUACCCUCGAGUGUGGAAUAACAUCGGGAAACCGAUGCUAAUACCGCAUAACAUCGCAAGAUCAAAGGAGUAAUCCGCUUGAGGAGGGGGUCGCGGCUGAUUAGCUAGUUGGCGGGGUAAUGGCCCACCAAGGCGAAGAUCGGUAUCCGGCCUGAGAGGGCGCACGGACACACUGGAACUGAAACACGGUCCAGACUCCUACGGGAGGCAGCAGUGGGAAUUUUGCGCAAUGGGGGAAACCCUGACGCAGCAACGCCGCGUGGAGGAUGAAGCCCCUUGGGGCGUAAACUCCUUUCGACCAAGACGAUUAUGACGGUACUGGUAGGAGAAGCACCGGCUAACUCUGUGCCAGCAGCCGC
rnacentral:rRNA from 1 species